rnacentral:tRNA from 1 species
GGGGUUGUGGCUCAGUGGUAGAGUACUUGCCUAGCAUGCAUGAGGCUUUGGGUUUGAACCUCAGCACCA